rnacentral:rRNA from 1 species
AUUGAACGCUGGCGGCAUGCUUUACACAUGCAAGUCGAACGGCAGCGGGGGCUUCGGCCUGCCGGCGAGUGGCGAACGGGUGAGUAAUGCAUCGGAACGUGCCCAGUCAUGGGGGGAUAACUACGCGAAAGCGUAGCUAAUACCGCAUACGCCCUGAGGGGGAAAGCGGGGGAUCGCAAGACCUCGCGUGAUUGGAGCGGCCGAUGUCGGAUUAGCUAGUUGGUGGGGUAAAGGCCUACCAAGGCGACGAUCCGUAGCGGGUCUGAGAGGAUGAUCCGCCACACUGGGACUGAGACACGGCCCCAGACUCCUACGGGAGGCAGCAGUGGGGGAAUUUUUGGACAAUGGGGGGGCGAACCCCUGAUCCAGCCAUGCCGCGUGAGUGAGAAGGCCUCGGUUGUAAGACGUCUUUCUAGACGG